UACGUAGGGUGCAAGCGUUGUCCGGAAUUAUUGGGCGUAAAGAGCUCGUAGGCGGUUCGUCGCGUCGGCUGUGAAAACCCGGAGCUCAACUCCGGGCCUGCAGUCGAUACGGGCGGACUAGAGUUCGGCAGGGGAGACUGGAAUUCCUGGUGUAGCGGUGAAAUGCGCAGAUAUCAGGAGGAACACCCGUGGCUAAGGCGGCUCUCUAGUACGGUACUGACGCUGAGACGCGAAAGCGUGGGGAGCGAACAGG
rnacentral:rRNA from 1 species